CUUCCCUCCCCUUCCUCUCCUGACUAGUCUCUUCCCUCUCUCUCCUCUCCUUUUCCUGGCAGGUCUUUUACCCAUCGGUGCAGUAGUGGAGGUGGACAUGGACUUGAGUAGAACCCUCGUCAAUAUAAGGAGCCUACGGCGCGGUGGAGGAGGAAUCAAGACGAUUUAUGAUGAUCAACUGUAGUUAGCCUGCUUGCGUCGCCAGCAGCAAAGAAAUAGUGGAGACGGAUAAACUUGCGUAGAUGUUGGAGGCAACAAUGGACAUUGCCAUUGGAGCAGUGGCUAUGGUGGUGUAGUUGGAGUAGUACAGGGAUCCCUCAACCUAUUGGUGCAGGAGUGGUUUUGCGGAUAUCAAACAUGGUGAAGGUGCGGCAAGUCCAAAUUAAGGAGCAGGCACGGAACUACGAUGGAGCUGGUAAGGCGGAGGAACCAUCCAUCUUGGUACGAUGGAGUUGAGUCCAGAGAAGAAGAUGAGCAAUGGUGGCGGUGAGAACACCAUGGCGGAAG
rnacentral:lncRNA from 1 species